rnacentral:lncRNA from 1 species
GCUGCAUCUCACUGUAGAAGACUGUAGACUGCAUCUCACUGUUGUAGACUGUAGGCUGCAACUCACUGUAGUAGGCUGCAUCUCACUGUAGUAGGCUGUAGGCUGCAUCUCACUGUAGUAGGCUGCAUCUCACUGUAGUAGACUGUAGGCUGCAUCUCACUGUAGUAGACUGUAGGCUGCAUCUCACUGUAGUAGACUGUAGGCUGCAUCUCACUGUAGUAGCCUGUAGACUGCAUCUCAUUGUAGUAGGCUGUAAGCUGCAUCUCAUUGUAGUAGCCUGUAGACUGCAUCUCAUUGUAGUAGGCUGUAGGCUGUAGGCUGCAUCUCACUGUAGUAGACUGUAGGCUGUAGGCUGCAUCUCACUGUAGUAGGCCGUAGGCUGCAUCUCACUGUAGUAGACUGCAUCUCACUGUAGUAGACUGUAGGCUGCAUCUCACUGUAGUAGACUGUAGGCUGCAUCUCACUGUAGUAGACUGUAGGCUGCAUCUCACUGUAGUAGCCUGUAGACUGCAUCUCAUUGUAGUAGGCUGUAAGCUGCAUCUCAUUGUAGUAGGCUGCAUCUCACUGUAGUAGGCUGUAGGCUGCAUCUCACUGUAGUAGGCUGUAGGCUGCAUCUCACUGUAGUAGGCUGCAUCUCACUGUAGUAGGCUGUAGGCUGCAUCUCACUGUAGUAGGCUGCAUCUCACUGUAGUAGGG